GAUGAAGAACGCAGCGAAAUGCGAUAAGUAAUGUGAAUUGCAGAAUUCAGUGAAUCAUCGAAUCUUUGAACGCACAUUGCGCCCGCCAGUAUUCUGGCGGGCAUGCCUGUUCGAGCGUCAUUACAACCCUCAGGCCCCCGGGCCUGGCGUUGCGGAUCGGCGGAAGCCCCCUGCGGGCACAACGCCGUCCCCCAAAUACAGUGGCGGUCCCGCCGCAGCUUCCAUUGCGUAGUAGCUAACACCUCGCAACUGGAGAGCGGCGCGGCCACGCCGUAAAACACCCAACUUCUGAAUGUUGACCUCGAAUCAGGUAGGAAUACCCGCUGAACUUAAGCAUAUCAAUAAGCGGAGGA
rnacentral:misc_RNA from 1 species